GCGCUAUUUAGGGGGGAGGGCGAGGGUGGGAGAAACUAGGGGGGGGGGGAUGCGAAGGCGAGAGAAAGAGAGCGAGGAAAAAUGGGAGGGGCGAAAAAGAAAUAGCUAUUUCUUUCUCGCCCCUCCCAUUUUUCCUCGCUCUCUUUCUCUCGCCUUCGCAUCCCCUCCCUAGCUUCUCCCACCCUCGCCCUCCCCCGUAAAUAGCGC
rnacentral:sRNA from 1 species